CCAUAAACCUUUUUUUAUGCAGUUGCAAUCAGCGCCAGAAUAAUAAUUCAAUUUAUUAAAACUUUCAACAACGGAUCUCUUGGUUCUGGCAUCGAUGAAGAACGCAGCGAAAUGCGAUACGUAUGUGAAUUGCAAAAUUCACGAAUCAUCGAAUCUUUGAACGCACAUUGCGCCCUUUGGAUUUCAAGGGCAUGCCUGUUCCACCGCAUUCCACCCCCAAGUUCGGUGGGGUGGGCACCUAUUGGUCUCC
rnacentral:rRNA from 1 species